UGAAAUAUGAUCCAAAUCCACACAUAGGAGUGCUAUCCAUAGGUGUAAUGUCACGACCCGCGACCCCCGCCUAUUUGGCCGGAUCGCGGCGCCGCCGACAGACCGCCGAACGGACAGAGUUUCCUCUGUACGUCCUAGGCGUCGCAACAAGUACAAUACAAAGGUUCCAACCAGGAACAGUACUUGGCAAACAGAUUGCAUCAGGAAGGUAUCAAUCAACAUAAACACAACCUAAGUUAUUACAUUCAUUCAUUUGACAUUCAUUUUACAUCACAAUUGCUAACUGAUUUCCUCCAAAUACAAUCUAGAAUAUUACAACACUUUUCUUAUUUACAAUUUGAUACAUUCUUUUAAACUUAAUCCCCCGAGCUAGACUGCCAACACUGGUACUGCUACCUCUGGUCUCUGGGUAGGGCACUAUCUAUGGAGCUACGCCCUUACCUCGCGCCGCCGCGCUGCUCACGUGUGAACCUGAAAACCCCAAAACAACGUAGGGUGAGAACCAACUCCAUGGUUCCCAGUGGGUACGGCCACCCAAGGAAAAUGCUCGUCCGACAGGUUCAAAGGAGGCAACUGCAGGUUAGCUUAAUAAACAGAUAGAUAGAUAUUUAACUAUGCAAUUAAUAAAACCAUACCUUGCCUCGCAAUUUUAACAAUGACAUGCUAUAUGUAAUUCAUGCAAGAAUAUUCUACCAUAAGUAAACUUUGUUGAUUCUACUUAUAUUUUGUUAUCAUACUCAGAUCCAACAAAUCUCUAAGGUGUCAUUUACCUGAUUGAAGCUAGCCACCCGACUCGGUCUUGAGUCAAUCAUCCGCGGAAUGCCGCGCUAAGCCCGGCUCGAGGUGAAGGACGUCUCACUUGCACUUAAGCCUUAGAUCCACUCAACUGGAGUACCAAAUCCACUCUAUUGGGAAUUUAUAUGCUUAUCACCCAAUUUAUGGCUAACCCGCAGGUUCGCCUACUGCUCACUAGCCAUCUCGCCAGUAGGGAGGGUUACUCACACUACGACCCGAGACCGUCGGGCGGGACCCCAAAUAGGUAGUCCCUAACGUGACCACUCCGGAGCGCACUACUUGUGUGGGGCUUCCACUACAAGAUUUAACCGACCGUGAGCAUGAUCCAAUCCUCUCACACGAGGAUACCCUGUCAACUAGGGUCAUCAAUCCCUCAGGAACUCAACUGUCUCUAUGACUAUGUCUCAAGUGUCUUUUGCAAUAGAUUCAUCAACACUAAGUUCAUGUACCAUUCUUUUUCAUCAUAGGCCCUUGACACUAGGUUCAUUGCAACCUAUGUUCACUAAUACUAGGUUCCUUGUCAUUCUUAUCCACCUAGGUUCACGACACUAGGUUCAUAUCCGACCUAUGUUUAAAACACUAGGUUCAUAUGUCAUUCCUGUUCGACCUAUGUUCCAUAACACUAGGUCCUUGUCAUUCUUAUCCACCUAAGUUCACGACGCUAGGUUCAUGCCACUCGAUCUAUUGGAUACCUAAUUGUCCAUAUCGAGGUUCUAUAAUCAUAUGUACUUUAGCAUGCAUCUUUUCAUAAUAUUAAUAUGCCAUGCCCUCUAACAUGCAUUCUCUAAGCAUACAAUUUAAUAUGCAAUUACCAACUAGCAUGCAUUCACAUAAUAUUAACUUGCAUACACAUUUCUCAUUAUGCCAUUAACCAUUAUCUAACAUGAUCUCAUGUUCUCUAGCAUGCUCUCAUACAUGUCAUCAUGAAUCUAUAGUGCUAACAUGUUCAUACAUUUAACAGUUUCUCGUAUGCUUGACAUUCAUUAAUAUGUUCAUGUUCUUUAGCA
rnacentral:lncRNA from 1 species